UGGGGAAUCAUGGUCAAUGGGCGAAAGCCUGAACCUGCGACGCCGCGUGAGUGAUGAAGGUCGUAAGAUCGUAAAACUCUUUUCAGGGAUCUUAACGCACAGCUGUCAACAACAGCUGUGUCUGACUCUCCCUGGAAGAAGCCCCAGCCAACUACGUGCCAGCAGCUGCGGUAAUACGUAGGGGGCGAGCGUUAUUCGGAAUUACUGGGUGUAAAGGGUAUGUAGGCGGCCCUUCAAGUCGCGUGUCAAAGUCCAGUGCUCAACGCUGGGUGUGCGCGCGAUACUGACGGGCUUGAGGGCUGGAGAGGUGAGCGGAAUUCCCGGUGUAGUGGUAAAAUACGUAGAGAUCGGGAGGAACACCAGCGGCGCAGGCGGCUCACUAGACAGUUUCUGACGCUAAGAUACGAAAGCGUGGGGAGCAAACA
rnacentral:rRNA from 1 species